rnacentral:rRNA from 1 species
UUAGAGUUUGAUCCUGGCUCAGGACGAACGCUGGCGGCGUGCUUAACACAUGCAAGUCGAACGGAAAGGCCCUGCUUUUGUGGGGUGCUCGAGUGGCGAACGGGUGAGUAACACGUGAGUWACCUGCCCUUGACUUUGGGAUAACUUCAGGAAACUGGGGCUAAUACCGGAUAGGAGCUCCUGCUGCAUGGUGGGGGUUGGAAAGUUUCGGCGGUUGGGGAUGGACUCGCGGCUUAUCAGCUUGUUGGUGGGGUAGUGGCUUACCAAGGCUUUGACGGGUAGCCGGCCUGAGAGGGUGACCGGCCACAUUGGGACUGAGAUACGGCCCAGACUCCUACGGGAGGCAGCAGUGGGGAAUAUUGCACAAUGGGCGGAAGCCUGAUGCAGCAACGCCGCGUGCGGGAUGACGGCCUUCGGGUUGUAAACCGCUUUCGCCUGUGACGAAGCGUGAGUUACGGUAAUGGGUAAAGAAGCACCGGCUAACUACGUGCCAGCAGCCGCGGUGAUACGUAGGGUGCGAGCGUUGUCCGGAUUUAUUGGGCGUAAAGGGCUCGUAGGUGGUUGAUCGCGUCGGAAGUGUAAUCUUGGGGCUUAACCCUGAGCGUGCUUUCGAUACGGGUUGACUUGAGGAAGGUAGGGGAGAAUGGAAUUCCUGGUGGAGCGGUGGAAUGCGCAGAUAUCAGGAGGAACACCAGUGGCGAAGGCGGUUCUCUGGGCCUUUCCUGACGCUGAGGAGCGAAAGCGUGGGGAGCGAACAGGCUUAGAUACCCUGGUAGUCCACGCUGUAAACGGUGGGUACUAGGUGUGGGGUCCAUUCCACGGGUUCCGUGCCGUAWUAACGCUUUAAGUACCCCGCCUGGGGAGUACGGCCGCAAGGCUAAAACUCAAAGGAAUUGACGGGGCCCCGCACAAGCGGCGGAGCAUGCGGAUUAAUUCGAUGCAACGCGUAGAACCUUACCUGGGUUUGACAUGGAUCGGGAGUGCUCAGAGAUGGGUGUGCCUCUUUUGGGGUCGGUUCACAGGUGGUGCAUGGCUGUCGUCAGCUCGUGUCGUGAGAUGUUGGGUUAAGUCCCGCAACGAGCGCAACCCUUGUUCACUGUUGCCAGCACGUUAUGGUGGGGACUCAGUGGAGACCGCCGGGGUCAACUCGGAGGAAGGUGGGGAUGACGUCAAGUCAUCAUGCCCCUUAUGUCCAGGGCUUCACGCAUGCUACAAUGGCUGGUACAGAGAGUGGCGAGCCUGUGAGGGUGAGCGAAUCUCGGAAAGCCGGUCUCAGUUCGGAUUGGGGUCUGCAACUCGACCUCAUGAAGUCGGAGUCGCUAGUAAUCGCAGAUCAGCAACGCUGCGGUGAAUACGUUCCCGGGGCUUGCACACACCGCCCGUC